rnacentral:rRNA from 1 species
ACAGAGGUGGCAAGCGUUGUUCGGAAUUAUUGGGCGUAAAGAGCACGUAGGCGGUCCUACAAGUCAGCUGUGAAAUCCUUCUGCUCAACGGAAGAACGGCAGUUGAUACUAUAGGGCUGGAAUGCGGGAGGGGAGAGUGGAACUUCUGGUGGAGCGAUGAAAUGCGUAGAUAUCAGAAGGAACGUCGGCGGCGAAAGCUACUCUCUAGACCGUAACUG